ACUCCUACGGGAGGCAGCAGUAGGGAAUCUUCGGCAAUGGGGGCAACCCUGACCGAGCAACGCCGCGUGAGUGAAGAAGGUUUUCGGAUCGUAAAACUCUGUUGUUAGAGAAGAACGUUAAGUAGAGUGGAAAAUUACUUAAGUGACGGUAUCUAACCAGAAAGGGACGGCUAACUACGUGCCAGCAGCCGCGGUAAUACGUAGGUCCCAAGCGUUGUCCGGAUUUAUUGGGCGUAAAGCGAGCGCAGGUGGUUUCUUAAGUCUGAUGUAAAAGGCAGUGGCUCAACCAUUGUGUGCAUUGGAAACUGGGAGACUUGAGUGCAGGAGAGGAGAGUGGAAUUCCAUGUGUAGCGGUGAAAUGCGUAGAUAUAUGGAGGAACACCGGAGGCGAAAGCGGCUCUCUGGCCUGUAACUGACACUGAGGCUCGAAAGCGUGGGAGCAAACAGGAUUAGAUACCCUGGUAGCGACUGA
rnacentral:rRNA from 1 species